rnacentral:rRNA from 1 species
UACGUAGGGUGCGAGCGUUAAUCGGAAUUACUGGGCGUAAAGCGUGCGCAGGCGGUUUUGUAAGGCAGAGGUGAAAUCCCCGGGCUUAACCUGGGAACUGCCUUUGUGACUGCAAGGCUUGAGUGCGGCAGAGGGGGAUGGAAUUCCGCGUGUAGCAGUGAAAUGCGUAGAUAUGCGGAGGAACACCGAUGGCGAAGGCAAUCCCCUGGGCCUGCACUGACGCUCAUGCACGAAAGCGUGGGGAGCAAACAGG